rnacentral:rRNA from 1 species
GACGAACGCUGGCGGCAGGCCUAACACAUGCAAGUCGAGCGAGCGGCGGACGGGUAAGUAAUGUAUGGGGACUGCCCGAUAGAGGGGGAUAACUACUGGAAACGGGAGCUAAUACCGCAUACUAUCGGAAAACCCAUAUGGGAUUAGCUAGUGGGGUUGGGAAUGGUGCCCCAAGGCGACGAUCCCUAGCUGGUCUGGGAGGAUGAUCAGCCACACUGGGACUGAGAUACGGCCCAGACUCCUACGGGGGCAGCAGUGGGGGAUAUUGCACAAUGGGCGAAAGCCUGAUGCAGCGACGCCGCGUGGGGGAUGAAGGCUUUCGGGUUGUAAACCUCUUUCGCUAUCGAACGGGUAGGUGGAGAAGAAGCGCCGGCUAACUACGUGCCAGCAGCCGCGGUAAUUC